rnacentral:rRNA from 1 species
GGUUAAGCGACUAAGCGUACACGGUGGAUGCCCUGGCAGUCAGAGGCGAUGAAGGACGUGCUAAUCUGCGAAAAGCGUCGGUAAGGUGAUAUGAACCGUUAUAACCGGCGAUGUCCGAAUGGGGAAACCCAGUGCAAUUCGUUGCACUAUCGUUAACUGAAUACAUAGGUUAACGAGGCGAACCGGGGGAACUGAAACAUCUAAGUACCCCGAGGAAAAGAAAUCAACCGAGAUUCCCCCAGUAGCGGCGAGCGAACGGGGAGCAGCCCGGAGUCUGAAUCAGCUUGUGUGUUAGUGGAAGCGUCUGGAAAGUCGCAGGGUACAGGGUGAUACUCCCGUACACUAAAACACACAGGCUGUGAACUCGAAGAGUAGGGCGGGACACGUGGUAUCCUGUCUGAAUAUGGGGGGACCAUCCUCCAAGGCUAAAUACUCCUGACUGACCGAUAGUGAACCAGUACCGUGAGGGAAAGGCGAAAAGAACCCCGGCGAGGGGAGUGAAAAAGAACCUGAAACCGUGUACGUACAAGCAGUAGGAGCCCACUAGUUGGGUGACUGCGUACCUUUUGUAUAAUGGGUCAGCGACUUAUAUUCUGUAGCAAGGUUAACCGAAUAGGGGAGCCGCAGGGAAACCGAGUCUUAACUGGGCGUUAAGUUGCAGGGUAUAGACCCGAAACCCGGUGAUCUAGCCAUGGGCAGGUUGAAGGUUGGGUAACACUAACUGGAGGACCGAACCGACUAAUGUUGAAAAAUUAGCGGAUGACUUGUGGCUGGGGGUGAAAGGCCAAUCAAACCGGGAGAUAGCUGGUUCUCCCCGAAAGCUAUUUAGGUAGCGCCUCGUGAACUCAUCUUCGGGGGUAGAGCACUGUUUCGGCUAGGGGGUCAUCCCGACUUACCAACCCGAUGCAAACUACGAAUACCGAAGAAUGUUAUCACGGGAGACACACGGCGGGUGCUAACGUCCGUCGUGAAGAGGGAAACAACCCAGACCGCCAGCUAAGGUCCCAAAGUCAUGGUUAAGUGGGAAACGAUGUGGGAAGGCCCAGACAGCCAGGAUGUUGGCUUAGAAGCAGCCAUCAUUUAAAGAAAGCGUAAUAGCUCACUGGUCGAGUCGGCCUGCGCGGAAGAUGUAACGGGGCUAAACCAUGCACCGAAGCUGCGGCAGCGACACUAUGUGUUGUUGGGUAGGGGAGCGUUCUGUAAGCCGUUGAAGGUGGCCUGUGAGGGUUGCUGGAGGUAUCAGAAGUGCGAAUGCUGACAUAAGUAACGAUAAUGCGGGUGAAAAACCCGCACGCCGGAAGACCAAGGGUUCCUGUCCAACGUUAAUCGGGGCAGGGUGAGUCGACCCCUAAGGCGAGGCCGAAAGGCGUAGUCGAUGGGAAACAGGUUAAUAUUCCUGUACUUGGUGUUACUGCGAAGGGGGGACGGAGAAGGCUAUGUUGGCCGGGCGACGGUUGUCCCGGUUUAAGCAUGUAGGCGGAUGUUCCAGGUAAAUCCGGAACGUUAUUAACGCUGAGGUGUGAUGACGAGGCACUACGGUGCUGAAGUGACAAAUGCCCUGCUUCCAGGAAAAGCCUCUAAGCAUCAGGUAACAUCAAAUCGUACCCCAAACCGACACAGGUGGUCAGGUAGAGAAUACCAAGGCGCUUGAGAGAACUCGGGUGAAGGAACUAGGCAAAAUGGUGCCGUAACUUCGGGAGAAGGCACGCUGAUGGUAGGUGAAGUGACUUGCUCACGGAGCUGAAAUCAGUCGAAGAUACCAGCUGGCUGCAACUGUUUAUUAAAAACACAGCACUGUGCAAACACGAAAGUGGACGUAUACGGUGUGACGCCUGCCCGGUGCCGGAAGGUUAAUUGAUGGGGUUAUCCUCACGGAGAAGCUCUUGAUCGAAGCCCCGGUAAACGGCGGCCGUAACUAUAACGGUCCUAAGGUAGCGAAAUUCCUUGUCGGGUAAGUUCCGACCUGCACGAAUGGCGUAAUGAUGGCCAGGCUGUCUCCACCCGAGACUCAGUGAAAUUGAACUCGCUGUGAAGAUGCAGUGUACCCGCGGCAAGACGGAAAGACCCCGUGAACCUUUACUAUAGCUUGACACUGAACACUGGUCCUUGAUGUGUAGGAUAGGUGGGAGGCUUUGAAGUGUGGACGCCAGUCUGCAUGGAGCCGUCCUUGAAAUACCACCCUUUAAUGGCUGGUGUUCUAACGUGGGCCCGUAAUCCGGGUUGCGGACAGUGUCUGGUGGGUAGUUUGACUGGGGCGGUCUCCUCCUAAAGAGUAACGGAGGAGCACGAAGGUCAGCUAAUCCUGGUCGGACAUCAGGAGGUUAGUGCAAUGGCAUAAGCUGGCUUGACUGCGAGCGUGACGGCGCGAGCAGGUGCGAAAGCAGGUCAUAGUGAUCCGGUGGUUCUGAAUGGAAGGGCCAUCGCUCAACGGAUAAAAGGUACUCCGGGGAUAACAGGCUGAUACCGCCCAAGAGUUCAUAUCGACGGCGGUGUUUGGCACCUCGAUGUCGGCUCAUCACAUCCUGGGGCUGAAGUAGGUCCCAAGGGUAUGGCUGUUCGCCAUUUAAAGUGGUACGCGAGCUGGGUUUAGAACGUCGUGAGACAGUUCGGUCCCUAUCUGCCGUGGGCGCUGGAGAAUUGAGGGGGGCUGCUCCUAGUACGAGAGGACCGGAGUGGACGCAUCACUGGUGUUCGGGUUGUCAUGCCAAUGGCAUUGCCCGGUAGCUAAAUGCGGAAGAGAUAAGUGCUGAAAGCAUCUAAGCACGAAACUUGCCCCGAGAUGAGUUCUCCCUGACUCCUUGAGAGUCCUGAAGGAACGUUGAAGACGACGACGUUGAUAGGCCGGGUGUGUAAGCGCAGCGAUGCGUUGAGCUAACCGGUACUAAUGAACCGUGAGGCUUAACCUU